AGGACGAACGCUGGCGGCGUGCUUAACACAUGCAAGUCGAGCGGAAAGGCCCUUCGGGGUACUCGAGCGGCGAACGGGUGAGUAACACGUGAGCAACCUGCCCUUGGUUUCGGGAUAGCUCCGGGAAACCGGAAUUAAUACCGGAUAUGAAUGAGGUCGACAUCGGCCACAUUGGAAAGUUUUUCGACCAGGGAUGGACUCGCGGCCUAUCAGCUAGUUGGUGAGGUAACGGCCCACCAAGGCGACGACGGGUAGCCGGCCUGAGAGGGCGACCGGCCACACUGGGACUGAGACACGGCCCAGACUCCUACGGGAGGCAGCAGUGGGGAAUAUUGCGCAAUGGGCGAAAGCCUGACGCAGCGACGCCGCGUGGGGAUGAAUGCCUUCGGGUUGUAAACCCCUUUCAGCAGGGACGAAGCGAAAGUGACGGUACCUGCAGAAGAAGCGCGGCUAACUACGUGCCAGCAGCCGC
rnacentral:rRNA from 1 species